GUCACUGUCCAUAAAUAACUCAUCGGUUUGAGUUAUUUUAAAGUGACCCGCUUAAGUUCUUCGAGAACUAUGUUAGGGGCGAAAUUAGGCACUCUUGCGAUGCUUCGGAAGUCUGAUACCCUGCG
rnacentral:sRNA from 17 species